rnacentral:rRNA from 1 species
CAGCAGCCGCGGUAAUACGGAGGGUGCAAGCGUUGUCCGGAUUUAUUGGGUUUAAAGGGUGCGUAGGCGGCUACUUAAGUCAGCGGUGAAAGACUCCGGCUCAACCGGAGCAGUGCCAUUGAUACUGGAUAGCUUGAGUGUUGGAGGGGUACAUGGAAUUGAUGGUGUAGCGGUGAAAUGCAUAGAUACCAUCAGGAACACCGAUAGCGAAGGCAUUGUACUGGCCAACAACUGACGCUGAGGCACGAAAGCAUGGGGAGCGAACAGGAUAGAUACCCCAGUAGUCCCUGUCUCUUAUACA